UACGUAGGGUGCAAGCGUUGUCCGGAAUUAUUGGGCGUAAAGAGCUCGUAGGCGGUUUGUUGCGUCGGCUGUGAAAUCCCGAGGCUCAACCUCGGGCCUGCAGUGGGUACGGGCAGACUAGAGUGCGGUAGGGGAGAUUGGAACUCCUGGUGUAGCGGUGGAAUGCGCAGAUAUCAGGAAGAACACCGAUGGCGAAGGCAGAUCUCUGGGCCGUAACUGACGCUGAGGAGCGAAAGCAUGGGGAGCGAACAGG
rnacentral:rRNA from 1 species